rnacentral:snRNA from 1 species
CCCCUCCCGCCCUCACCGCUCCACGUGCGUCCCUUCCAAAGCUGUGUGCUUGGUCGAAGAGGACAACCUUCCCCGAUGCAGGCGAUACUGUUCAUCAGUUAUGGGUAUACAGUAGCUGCGCUCCCCUGCUAGAAUCUCCAAACAAGCUCAAGGUCCAGUUGUAGGAGAACGUAGGGUAGUCAAGCAUCCAAGACUGCAGACACAUCCAAGUGAGGCUCUGCACGGGGCAGUCUGCCGUUCUUU